rnacentral:rRNA from 1 species
UACAGAGGGUUCAAGCGUUGUUCGGAAUUAUUGGGCGUAAAGCGCGUGUAGGCGGCUUUGCAAGUCGGGUGUGAAAGCCCUCAGCUCAACUGAGGAAGUGCGCCCGAAACUGCAGAGCUUGAGUACCGGAGAGGAUGGCGGAAUUCCCCAAGUAGAGGUGAAAUUCGUAGAUAUGGGGAGGAACACCGGUGGCGAAGGCGGCCAUCUGGACGGAUACUGACGCUGAGACGCGAAAGCGUGGGGAGCAAACAGG